rnacentral:rRNA from 1 species
ACGGGUGAGUAACAUUUAGGAAUCUGCCUAGUAGUGGGGGAUAGCUCGGGGAAACUCGAAUUAAUACCGCAUACGACCUACGGGUGAAAGGGGGCGCAAGCUCUUGCUAUUAGAUGAGCCUAAAUCAGAUUAGCUAGUUGGUGGGGUAAAGGCCCACCAAGGCGACGAUCUGUAACUGGUCUGAGAGGAUGAUCAGUCACACCGGAACUGAGACACGGUCCGGACUCCUACGGGAGGCAGCAGUGGGGAAUAUUGGACAAUGGGGGCAACCCUGAUCCAGCCAUGCCGCGUGUGUGAAGAAGGCCUUUUGGUUGUAAAGCACUUUAAGCAGGGAGGAGAGGCUAAUGGUCAAUACCCAUUAGAUUAGACGUUACCUGCAGAAUAAGCACCGGCUAACUCUGUGCCAGCAGCCGCGGUAAUACAGAGGGUGCGAGCGUUAAUCGGAAUUACUGGGCGUAAAGCGAGUGUAGGUGGCUCAUUAAGUCACAUGUGAAAUCCCCGGGCUUAACCUGGGAACUGCAUGUGAUACUGGUGGUGCUAGAAUAUGUGAGAGGGAAGUAGAAUUCCAGGUGUAGCGGUGAAAUG